rnacentral:rRNA from 1 species
AGUGAACGCUGGCGGCAGGCCUAAUACAUGCAAGUCGAACGGCAGCACAGCAGAGCUUGCUCUGUGGGUGGCGAGUGGCGGACGGGUGAGGAAUACGUGGGAAUCUGCCCAGUCGUGGGGGAUAACGUAGGGAAACUUACGCUAAUACCGCAUGCGCCCUUCGGGGGAAAGCCGGGGACCUUCGGGCCUGGCGCGAUUGGAUGAGCCCACGUCGGAUUAGCUAGUUGGCGGGGUAAAGGCCCACCAAGGCGACGAUCCGUAGCUGGUCUGAGAGGAUGAUCAGCCACACUGGAACUGAGACACGGUCCAGACUCCUACGGGAGGCAGCAGUAGGGAAUAUUGGACAAUGGGCGCAAGCCUGAUCCAGCCAUGCCGCGUGAGUGAAGAAGGCCCUCGGGUUGUAAAGCUCUUUUGUCCGGAAAGAAAAGCGCCGGGUUAAUACCCUGGUGUCCUGACGGUACCGGAAGAAUAAGCACCGGCUAACUUCGUGCCAGCCGCCGCAGUAA